rnacentral:lncRNA from 1 species
AUGUAGGGUGUACAUCUAAUAGAUGUUGUAGUACUAUCUUUGAUGAUUAGUUCUUUGGUUAUUAGUAAUAGUUAGAAGAAUUUUAAACAUCUUAAGUUUAAGAUUAGUGGAUGGAUAUUCCUUGGUUGAGCUCGGAUGUAGAAUGUUUGUAUAUAGAUAUCCUUUUCUUAGCUUUGACAUUAUUAUUCCAUUUGUUCAAAUGGAUUUAAGGAUUUUCUACAAUAAAAACUUAAUUGUUACAUCAUAUAGGAAGUUAAAAGAAUAAAGAAGGU